UACGUAGGGUGCGAGCGUUAAUCGGAAUUACUGGGCGUAAAGCGUGCGCAGGCUGUUCUGUAAGUCAGAUGUGAAAUCCCCGAGCUCAACUUGGGAACUGCGUUUGAAACUACAGGACUAGAAUAUGUCAGAGGGGGGUAGAAUUCCACGUGUAGCAGUGAAAUGCGUAGAGAUGUGGAGGAAUACCAAUGGCGAAGGCAGCCCCCCUGGGAUAAUAUUGACGCUCAUGCACGAAAGCGUGGGGAGCAAACAGG
rnacentral:rRNA from 1 species